GAUGAACGCUAGCUACAGGCUUAACACAUGCAAGUCGAGGGGAAACGAUAUUGGAAGCUUGCUUCCGAUAGGCGUCGACCGGCGCACGGGUGAGUAACGCGUAUCCAACCUGCCCACCACUUGGGAAUAACCUUGCGAAAGUAAGACUAAUGCCCCAUGAUAUCUCUAGAAGACAUCUGAAAGAGAUUAAAGAUUUAUCGGUGAGGGAUGGGGAUGCGUCUGAUUAGCUUGUUGGCGGGGUAACGGCCCACCAAGGCGACGAUCAGUAGGGGUUCGGAGAGGAAGGUCCCCCACAUUGGAACUGAGACACGGUCCAAACUCCUACGGGAGGCAGCAGUGAGGAAUAUUGGUCAAUGGGCGAGAGCCUGAACCAGCCAAGUAGCGUGCAGGAUGACGGCCCUAUGGGUUGUAAACUGCUUUUAUAAGGGAAUAAAGUGAGCCUCGUGAGGCUUUUUGCAUGUACCUUAUCAAUUAGGACCGGCUAAUUCCGUGCCAGCAGCCGCAGUAA
rnacentral:rRNA from 1 species